rnacentral:rRNA from 1 species
AGUGAACGCUGGCGGCGUGCUUAACACAUGCAAGUCGAACGAGAACGGGUUAUAGCUUGCUAUAAUUGUCAGCUAAGUGGCGCACGGGUGAGUAAUGUAUAGGUAAUAUGCCUCUUACUAAGGGAUAACAAAUGGAAACGUUUGCUAAUACCUUAUACUCCUUAUUAACAGAAGUUAAUAAGGGAAAGAUUUAUUGGUAAGAGAUUAGCCUGUAUUGUAUCAGUUAGUUGGUGGGGUAAUGGCUUACCAAGACUAUGACACAUAACUGGUUUGAGAGGAUGAUCAGUCACACUGGAACUGAGACACGGUCCAGACUCCUACGGGAGGCAGCAGUGGGGAAUAUUGCACAAUGGACGAAAGUCUGAUGCAGCAACGCCGCGUGGAGGAUGACACAUUUCGGUGCGUAAACUCCUUUUAUAUGAGAAGAUAAUGACGGUAUUAUAUGAAUAAGCACCGGCUAACUCCGUGCCAGCAGCCGCGGUAAUACG